AAGGCGCUAGUAAAACGGACAAUUACACUGCUUUGUCAGGGCAGAGUUGUGGGUUUAAUCCCCGCGCGCCUUG
rnacentral:tRNA from 1 species